CCAGUGGUGGCCGAACGGUUAGGCGAUGGUCUGUAAAACCAUUUUGAGCAGGUUCGACUCCUGCCCACUGGACCA
rnacentral:tRNA from 1 species